AUGCUUUUUGACCAGGGAGUUUGCAUCAAGAGGACUUCACAAGGGCUUCACUGUGGUCUUGUGGGGUUAAAACAUGCUCCUGGCACCUCUCCUGCUUCCAGAUCUUUUCUCCUGACCUCUGAGCGAUGGAAAAGAAAGCCUCCACUGAGUAUGAAGGAAACUUUCAGACAGGAGAGGACUGAAUCAUCCAGUUGCACCGUCCCACAGUCAGCAGCCUGCUGGGAUCUCCUCUUCUACCGUCGUUGCGCACUCCAAGAUAAUUGCUAGCAUUUCAAGGAUUGCUUCAGCUGGUCCCUCUCGCAUCCUAGGGACACAGCCCAGUUGGCCACUGAAAGUAUUCUGCAAAGGAGAUGAGAAAGGAUUGCUGUUAGAUAAAAUAAAGAACGUUGUUCUCACA
rnacentral:lncRNA from 1 species